rnacentral:rRNA from 1 species
CCCUUAGAUGUUCUGGGCUGCACGCGUGCUACAAUGGCGUUUCCAGCAAGUCUGCGAACCCGAGAGGGCCAGCGGAUCUUCGAAUUGGCGUCGUGAUCGGGACAGUCGAUUGCAAUUAUUUGACUCAAACGAGGAAUUCCUUGUAAUCGCGAUUCAUCAUAUCGCGCUGAAUACGUCCCUGCCCUUUGUACACACCGCCCGUCGCUCCUACCGAUUGAGCGAUCCGGUAAAUGUUUUGGAUUGGUGCAGGGGCGGCUAGCUGCCGGUCGCUACGAAAUUUUGUGAACCUUAUCGCUUAGAGGAAGGAAAAGUCGUAACA